GUGCCUAAGCAAAUUCAUCUAUUCGUAGAAUUCGUGGUAGGACUUGGAUAUCCCAUUUAAGUUACGCUAACUUAAUUAAUUAAAGUAGCGAUUCGCUUUUCCUCCCUACAACCUCCCUCGCAACGACGUUGGUAUAAACGAACUGAGACAGAAGAAGCACGUAGCUCAAGUUAGUGCUUAUGUAGCAGCGUGGAAACAAGAAGAGAGAGCCGUACAGAGAAAGACCGAGAGCGAGCGAAAGAAACGACGAAGCCUCGAUGCGUAUCGGAGACCGACCUCGCAGUGCUCAACGAAGCUUCACGAGACGGUAAUCGUGUCCGGUUUUAUUCGCCAUCGGCGAUAGACCUCGCAUCCUAGCGAUAUCAACACCGGUCAUAUCGCAAAAUCACAUCGUUGUAGUUAAUUGCAGCGGAAUUGCUAACGUCAGCAUCAUCGCGCGGUUCGCCGAUCAGAGCUGUGCAUUAACAUGCUCGGGUGUGCCUCCCGCGCCCACUCUCGGCCUUGAGCCGAGAACCUGGAUCGCUGGCAAGAGAACUAGAGAAUCGCGGUCUCAAUUGAGAGACAUAGAGAGCAAUGAAGGUGAAGAAGAAGAGAGGAGACGAAAACUGGAGAAUAGAAACGAGAGGGAUGAAAAAAACGGGACGAAAGAAGGAGAUAGAGAUAAUUAUAACUUUUGAAAUAUUUUAUCGCAAGACAUCAGUUCUGACGUAAUAUGCAAAUACGAUUCAAUAUUUCAUCCUGUACCUAUUGUAUUUAAAUCCUAGAAGAAAGUAAUAAAUAAAAAUUUCUACGUCCAUCGACAAAUAAUAUAUACAGGCAGUAAAGCCUCAAAAAUUUCAAGCUAUCAGAAAUAUGUAUGAAAAAGUCACGAUUCUAAAAUGUAAUCCUGAUAUUACUAUUUAAGUGUGAUUAAAAUCGCACAAUUAUCGUACUAAAAAUUCUAACUGUAAUAAUUUGUGCGAAAGUUUGAUAUGAUCCACUAUGAAAAGUCUAUCUAAAAAAAGGUCAAAUAAAAUUAGUA
rnacentral:lncRNA from 1 species